GGAGGCUGGACCUGGAGUCAUUUCUGAUCUGAUAUCAAGGGAAGGGGGAGGUCUGUUAUUUGGACAGCGUUCCUAGGGACUGGGUCAUGCUUGGAGGCUGCUGGCAAGGUUUAGGACAGAAACGAAACGUUUCUAUGCUCCCCUCAGGCCGCCACUCAUUUGUUAUGAGGACUUCCCCCAAAAUAUAUAAAUAAAUGUGCCUCUGUCUCCCCAGACUCAGUUGUAGAAUUUUCUGCCACUCACUUUCUUCUCUCUUCUGUGUCAAGUUAGUCUCUAACCCAAUCGACUUUGCUUUUCUUUUUCAGCCAUGUUCUUCUCCCUCAGACCUGGCCUUAGAAAGUGGCUUCCAACAGCCAGCCACUUAGGAUAGUAGCUCCCCAGUCCUGCCCUGUCCUUGGAAUCCACCCCAUGUGUCUGUGCUGUCCCAUUGUCACCCUCAGGGGACCAGAUGGGUACAGGACAAAAGUGAACAGGCAUGAACUCAGUGCCAGUAGGAAUGAGGAGGAAGUGGGGGAUUUGAGCAGCAUGUGGAAUUUAGGAUUGGUCCAGGACAGGAUGCUGACAUGGAUACUGAAGCUGAGGAAGACUGAGGAAGCUUGGGAUCACUUGAGGUUUUGCAAUGUCCCUGCUCCAGAUUCCUGGCCCUUCAGUUGCACAGAACAGAAAUGCUGUCCCCGUCCUGCUCUGCCCAUGGAGAACACUGCUGCCCAGCUCCCCAGCACACGUGGGAAAGGUAAGGGCACAAGGAUGCAGAAGUCCACUUGCCUACAUCUUUCUGUCUCAGCCUUGCUUCUGACACCAGCUUCUCACUUUGUACCCCACACACGCUCCAGGAGACACUGACCCCGGCCUGCUUCAAUGAUGCCCUGACUACGGGAGAGAAGGAAACUGUGGAUGUUUGUGCUCAACCUGAAAACUCCUGUGAAAUAACCAGAGAAGCGUAUGAGGCCCAGUGCAGCCAGGAGCCUGGAGGAUGUCAUUGGUUACUCUGUCACCCGUUAGCUUUGUGACGGAUCUCAGACAAGGCCAUUUGCCUCCUCUCUUUCCAAUGGGGUCAGUACUUGUGUAGCCUUCUUCUUCAAAUGGACAUUUUGAAAAUAAAAUGAGAUGAU
rnacentral:lncRNA from 1 species